UGGGGAAUAUUGCACAAUGGGCGCAAGCCUGAUGCAGCCAUGCCGCGUGUGUGAAGAAGGCCUUCGGGUUGUAAAGCACUUUCAGCGAGGAGGAAGGUGGUGAGCUUAAUACGCUCAUCAAUUGACGUUACUCGCAGAAGAAGCACCGGCUAACUCCGUGCCAGCAGCCACGGUAAUACGGAGGGUGCAAGCGUUAAUCGGAAUUACUGGGCGUAAAGCGCACGCAGGCGGUUUGUUAAGUCAGAUGUGAAAUCCCCGGGCUCAACCUGGGAACUGCAUUUGAAACUGGCAAGCUAGAGUCUCGUAGAGGGGGGUAGAAUUCCAGGUGUAGCGGUGAAAUGCGUAGAGAUCUGGAGGAAUACCGGUGGCGAAGGCGGCCCCCUGGACGAAGACUGACGCUCAGGUGCGAAAGCGUGGGGCAGCAAACAGGAUUAGAUACCCUGGUAGUCCACGCUGUAAACGAUGUCGAUUUUGGAGGUUGUGCCCUUGAGGCGUGGCUUCCGGAGCUAACGCGUUAAAUCGACCGCCUGGGGAGUACGGCCGC
rnacentral:rRNA from 1 species